rnacentral:rRNA from 1 species
ACGGGGGUUGCAAGCGUUGUUCGAAAUUACUGGGCGUAAAGCGCGCGUAGGCGGUUUGGUAAGUCCUGUGUGAAAUCCUUCGGCUUAACCGGAGACGGUCACAGGAUACUGCUAAGCUAGAGUGUGAGAGGGGAGAGCGGAAUUCCCAGUGUAGUGGUGAAAUACGUAGAUAUUGGGAGGAACACCGGCGGCGAAAGCGGCUCUCUGGCUCAUUACUGACGCUGAGGUGCGAAAGCGUGGGUAGCAAACAGGA